GUGAGUAACACGUGGAUAACCUACUAUAAGACUGGGAUAACUUCGGGAAACCGGAGCUAAUACCGGAUGAUAUUUUGAACCGCAUGGUUCAAAAGUGAAAGACGGUCUUGCUGUCCCUUAUAGAUGGAUCCUGGCGCUGCAUUAGCUAGUUGGGUACGGUAACGGCUUACCAAGGCACGAUGCAUACCGACCUGAGAGGGUGAUCGGCCACACUGGAACUGAGACACGGUCCAGACUCCUACGGGAGGCACCAGUAGGGAAUCUUCCGCCAAUGGGCGAAAGCCUGACGGAGCGACGCCGCGUGAGUGAUGAAGGUCUUCGGAUCGUAAAACUCUGUUAUUAGGGAAGAACAUAUGUGUAAGUAACUGUGCACAUCUUGACGGUACCUAAUCAGAAAGCCACGGCUAACUACGUGCCAGCAGCCGCGGUAAUACGUAGGUGGCAAGCGUUAUCCGGAAUUAUUGGGCGUAAAGCGCGCGUAGGCGGUUUUUUAAGUCUGAUGUGAAAGCCCACGGCUCAACCGUGGAGGGUCAUUCGGAAACUGGAAAACUUGAGUGCCAGAAGAGGAAAGUGGAAUUCCCAUGUGUAACCGGUGAAAUGCGCAGAGAUAUGGAGGAACCACCCAGUGGCGAAGGCGACUCUUCUGGUCCUGUAACUGACCGCUGAUGUGCGAAAGCGGUGGGGAUCCAAACCAGGAUUAGAUACCCUGGUAGUCCCACGCCGUAAACGAUGAUGUGCUAAGUGUUAGGGGGUCUUCCGCCCCUUAGUGCUGCAGCUAACGCAUUAAGCACUCCGCCUGGGGAGUACGACCGCAAGGU
rnacentral:rRNA from 1 species